rnacentral:rRNA from 1 species
GUGGGGAAUUUUGGACAAUGGGCGCAAGCCUGAUCCAGCAAUGCCGCGUGCAGGAAGAAGGCCUUCGGGUUGUAAACUGCUUUUGUACGGAACGAAACGGUCCGGGUUAAUACCCUGGGCUAAUGACGGUACCGUAAGAAUAAGCACCGGCUAACUACGUGCCAGCAGCCGCGGUAAUACGUAGGGUGCAAGCGUUAAUCGGAAUUACUGGGCGUAAAGCGUGCGCAGGCGGUUUUGUAAGACAGGCGUGAAAUCCCCGGGCUCAACCUGGGGAUUGCGCUUGUGACUGGAAGGCUGGAGUGCGGCAGAGGGGGAUGGAAUUCCGCGUGUAGCAGUGAAAUGCGUAGAUAUGCGGAGGAACACCGAUGGCGAAGGCAAUCCCCUGGGCCUACACUGACGCUCAUGCACGAAAGCGUGGGGAGCAAACAGGAUUAGAUACCCGUGUAGUCC